GUGGACUGUCGAGUGGUUUAGGUAGUUUCAUGUUGUUGGGCUCCAAUUCGUGUUCCUGCAACACGAAGCUGCCUUAAUCGCCCCAGUUAAA
rfam:Lepisosteus oculatus linkage group LG11, whole genome shotgun sequence.